rnacentral:rRNA from 1 species
AUUGAACGCUGGCGGCAGGCCUAACACAUGCAAGUCGAACGAGUGGCGGACGGGUGAGUAAUGUCUGGGAAACUGCCUGAUGGAGGGGGAUAACUACUGGAAACGGUAGCUAAUACCGCAUACCAUCGGAUGUGCCCAGAUGGGAUUAGCUAGUAGGUGGGGUAACGGCUCACCUAGGCGACGAUCCCUAGCUGGUCUGAGAGGAUGAUCAGCCACACUGGAACUGAGACACGGUCCAGACUCCGACGGGAGGCAGCAGUGGGGAAUAUUGGACAAUGGGCGAAAGCCUGAUGCAGCCAUGCCGCGUGUGUGAAGAAGGCCUGCGGAUUGUAAAGUACUUUCAGCGGGGAGGCGUUACCCACAGAAGAAGCACCGGCUAACUUCGUGCCAGCCGCCGCGGUAAUAC